GAUUAAGUUAUUAAGGGCGCACGGUGGAUGCCUUGGCACUAGAAGCCGAUGAAGGACGUUACUAACGACGAUAUGCUUUGGGGAGCUGUAAGUAAGCUUUGAUCCAGAGAUUUCCGAAUGGGGAAACCCAGCAUGAGUUAUGUCAUGUUAUCGAUAUGUGAAUACAUAGCAUAUCAGAAGGCACACCCGGAGAACUGAAACAUCUUAGUACCCGGAGGAAGAAAAAGAAAAUUCGAUUCCCUUAGUAGCGGCGAGCGAAACGGGAAGAGCCCAAACCAACAAGCUUGCUUGUUGGGGUUGUAGGACACUCUAUACGGAGUUACAAAGGACGACAUUAGACGAAUCAUCUGGAAAGAUGAAUCAAAGAAGGUAAUAAUCCUGUAGUCGAAAAUGUUGUCUCUCUUGAGUGGAUCCUGAGUACGACGGAACACGUGAAAUUCCGUCGGAAUCUGGGAGGACCAUCUCCUAAGGCUAAAUACUCUCUAGUGACCGAUAGUGAACCAGUACCGUGAGGGAAAGGUGAAAAGCACCCCGGAAGGGGAGUGAAAUAGAACCUGAAACCGUGUGCUUACAAGUAGUCAGAGCCCGUUAAUGGGUGAUGGCGUGCCUUUUGUAGAAUGAACCGGCGAGUUACGAUUUGAUGCAAGGUUAAGCAGUAAAUGUGGAGCCGUAGCGAAAGCGAGUCUGAAUAGGGCGUUUAGUAUUUGGUCGUAGACCCGAAACCAGGUGAUCUACCCUUGGUCAGGUUGAAGUUCAGGUAACACUGAAUGGAGGACCGAACCGACUUACGUUGAAAAGUGAGCGGAUGAACUGAGGGUAGCGGAGAAAUUCCAAUCGAACCUGGAGAUAGCUGGUUCUCUCCGAAAUAGCUUUAGGGCUAGCCUCAAGUGAUGAUUAUUGGAGGUAGAGCACUGUUUGGACGAGGGGCCCCUCUCGGGUUACCGAAUUCAGACAAACUCCGAAUGCCAAUUAAUUUAACUUGGGAGUCAGAACAUGGGUGAUAAGGUCCGUGUUCGAAAGGGAAACAGCCCAGACCACCAGCUAAGGUCCCAAAAUAUAUGUUAAGUGGAAAAGGAUGUGGCGUUGCCCAGACAACUAGGAUGUUGGCUUAGAAGCAGCCAUCAUUUAAAGAGUGCGUAAUAGCUCACUAGUCGAGUGACACUGCGCCGAAAAUGUACCGGGGCUAAACAUAUUACCGAAGCUGUGGAUUGUCCUUUGGACAAUGGUAGGAGAGCGUUCUAAGGGCGUUGAAGCAUGAUCGUAAGGACAUGUGGAGCGCUUAGAAGUGAGAAUGCCGGUGUGAGUAGCGAAAGACGGGUGAGAAUCCCGUCCACCGAUUGACUAAGGUUUCCAGAGGAAGGCUCGUCCGCUCUGGGUUAGUCGGGUCCUAAGCUGAGGCCGACAGGCGUAGGCGAUGGAUAACAGGUUGAUAUUCCUGUACCACCUAUAAUCGUUUUAAUCGAUGGGGGGACGCAGUAGGAUAGGCGAAGCGUGCGAUUGGAUUGCACGUCUAAGCAGUAAGGCUGAGUAUUAGGCAAAUCCGGUACUCGUUAAGGCUGAGCUGUGAUGGGGAGAAGACAUUGAGUCUUCGAGUCGUUGAUUUCACACUGCCGAGAAAAGCCUCUAGAUAGAAAAUAGGUGCCCGUACCGCAAACCGACACAGGUAGUCAAGAUGAGAAUUCUAAGGUGAGCGAGCGAACUCUCGUUAAGGAACUCGGCAAAAUGACCCCGUAACUUCGGGAGAAGGGGUGCUCUUUAGGGUUAACGCCCAGAAGAGCCGCAGUGAAUAGGCCCAAGCGACUGUUUAUCAAAAACACAGGUCUCUGCUAAACCGUAAGGUGAUGUAUAGGGGCUGACGCCUGCCCGGUGCUGGAAGGUUAAGAGGAGUGGUUAGCUUCUGCGAAGCUACGAAUCGAAGCCCCAGUAAACGGCGGCCGUAACUAUAACGGUCCUAAGGUAGCGAAAUUCCUUGUCGGGUAAGUUCCGACCCGCACGAAAGGCGUAACGAUUUGGUCACUGUCUCAACGAGAGACUCGGUGAAAUCAUAGUACCUGUGAAGAUGCAGGUUACCCGCGACAGGACGGAAAGACCCCGUGGAGCUUUACUGUAGCCUGAUAUUGAAAUUCGGCACAGCUUGUACAGGAUAGGUAGGAGCCUUUGAAACGUGACGCUAGCUUACGUGGAGGCGCUGGUGGGAUACUACCCUAGCUGUGUUGGCUUUCUAACCCGCACCACUUAUCGUGGUGGGAGACAGUGUCAGGCGGGCAGUUUGACUGGGGCGGUCGCCUCCUAAAAGGUAACGGAGGCGCUCAAAGGUUCCCUCAGAAUGGUUGGAAAUCAUUCAUAGAGUGUAAAGGCAUAAGGGAGCUUGACUGCGAGACCUACAAGUCGAGCAGGGUCGAAAGACGGACUUAGUGAUCCGGUGGUUCCGCAUGGAAGGGCCAUCGCUCAACGGAUAAAAGCUACCCCGGGGAUAACAGGCUUAUCUCCCCCAAGAGUUCACAUCGACGGGGAGGUUUGGCACCUCGAUGUCGGCUCAUCGCAUCCUGGGGCUGUAGUCGGUCCCAAGGGUUGGGCUGUUCGCCCAUUAAAGCGGUACGCGAGCUGGGUUCAGAACGUCGUGAGACAGUUCGGUCCCUAUCCGUCGUGGGCGUAGGAAAUUUGAGAGGAGCUGUCCUUAGUACGAGAGGACCGGGAUGGACAUACCUCUGGUGUACCAGUUGUCGUGCCAACGGCAUAGCUGGGUAGCUAUGUGUGGACGGGAUAAGUGCUGAAAGCAUCUAAGCAUGAAGCCCCCCUCAAGAUGAGAUUUCCCAACUUCGGUUAUAAGAUCCCUCAAAGAUGAUGAGGUUAAUAGGUUCGAGGUGGAAGCAUGGUGACAUGUGGAGCUGACGAAUACUAAUCGAUCGAAGACUUAAUCAA
rnacentral:rRNA from 1 species